rnacentral:rRNA from 1 species
UACGUAGGGGGGCAAGCGUUGUCCGGAAUCAUUGGGCGUAAAGCGCGUGUAGGCGGCCCGAUAAGUCCGCUGUGAAAAGUCCAGGGCUCAACCCUGGGAUGCCGGUGGAUACUGUCGGGCUCGAGUCCGGAAGAGGCGAGUGGAAAUUCCUGGUGUAGCGGUGAAAUGACGCAGAUAUCAGGAGGAACACCAAUGGCGAAGGCAGCUCGCUGGGACGUGACUGACGCUGAGACGCGAAAGCGUGGGGAGCAAACAGG